ACCUGCCUUUGAGUGGGGAAGUAACGCUGGGAAACCAGCGCUAAUACCGCAUGCGCUCUCGGUUUCACUAUCGAGAGGAAAGCUUGAUGCGCUCAAAGAGGGGCCUGCGGCGGAUUAGCUAGUCGGUGGGGUAACGGCCUACCGAGGCAUCGAUCCGUAGCUGGUCUGAGAGGAUGAUCAGCCACACUGGGACUGAGACACGGCCCAG
rnacentral:rRNA from 1 species